GACGAACGCUGGCGGCGUGCUUAACACAUGCAAGUCGAACGGAAAGGCCUGCUUUCCCUUGUGGAUUGCGGGUCCUCGAGUGGCGAACGGGUGAGUACCACGUGAGUGAUCUGCCCCCAACUUGGGUCUAAGCCUGGGAUACUGUGUCUAAUCCCCGAUCGGACUGCAGGGUGGUGCCUGUGGUGGAAAACGAUGUUCUAGUGGUUGGGGAUGAGCUCGCGGCCUAUCAGCGUGUUGGUGGGGUAAUGGCCUACCAAGGCGGCGACGGGGAGCCGGCCUGAGAGGGUGGACCGCCACAUUGGGACUGAGAUACGGACCAGACGGCUACGGGAGGCAGGAGUGGGGAAUAUUGCACAAGGGGCGGAAGCCUGAUGCAGCGACGCCGCGGGGGGGAUGACGGCGUUCGGAUUGUAAUCUCCUUUCGAACGCGAGGAAGCCACCUGGUUGGAAGGGUGGUGACGGUAGUGGUAGAAGAAGCACCGGCUAACUACGUG
rnacentral:rRNA from 1 species